CGUGAGCGGCGGACGGGUGAGUAACGCGUGGGUAACCGUGCCUCAUACAGGGGGAUAACAGUUGGAAACGACUGCUAAUACCGCAUAAGCGCACAGUACCGCAUGGUACGGUGUGAAAAACUCCGGUGGUAUGAGAUGGACCCGCGUCUGAUUAGGUAGUUGGUGGGGUAACGGCCUACCAAGGCGACGAUCAGUAGCCGGCCUGAGAGGGUGAACGGCCACAUUGGGACUGAGACACGGCCCAA
rnacentral:rRNA from 1 species